GUGUCUAUAGUAAAUUCUCAAAAAACAGAAAGUCCAAAUUCCCCCUGAAAAAUAUUAGGAUUAGUCCCAUCUGAGUGAGUGCUCAGGCAGUCAGUGUCCAAAUGCUUCUUGCCAUGUCAGCAAUAACACAGUAACUUGUAAAAGUAUAAAUGCAUACCUUAACUCAGAUUUCAAUGCAAAGCCAUAUAGGUUACAAUACACCAUUUGAUUUUAUGGGCGCAGCCAUUUUAUGAGCAUAACAU
rnacentral:lncRNA from 1 species